UUGACCUCAAAUCAGGUAGGAUUACCCGCUGAACUUAAGCAUAUCAAUAAGCGGAGGAAAAGAAACUAACAAGGAUUCCCCUAGUAACUGCGAGUGAAGCGGGAAGAGCUCAAAUUUUGAAUCUGGCGGUCCUUGCGGCCGUCCGAGUUGUAAUCUAGAGAAGCGUUUUCCGCGCUGGACCGUGUACAAGUCUCCUGGAAGGGAGCGUCAUAGAGGGUGAGAAUCCCGUCUUUGACACGGACUACCAGGGCUUUUGUGAUGCGCUCUCGACGAGUCGAGUUGUUUGGGAAUGCAGCUCAAAUUGGGUGGUAAAUUCCAUCUAAAGCUAAAUACAGGCGAGAGACCGAUAGCGAACAAGUACCGUGAGGGAAAGAUGAAAAGAACUUUGGAAAGAGAGUUAAACAGUACGUGAAAUUGCUGAAAGGGAAACGCUUGAUGUCAGUCGCGUUGGCCGGGGAUCAGCCUUGCUCUUUUGCUAGGUGUACUUCCUGGUCGACGGGUCAGCAUCAAUUUUGGUCGCUGGAUAAAGGCGAGGGGAAUGUGGCACUCUUCGGGGUGUGUUAUAGCCCCUUGUUGUAUAC
rnacentral:rRNA from 1 species